GCCAGCAGCCAUAUGACCCUGCAACUCACAACCCUGCAACUGAAGCUAAGCAGGUGUGAGCCUGGUCAGUACCUGGAUGGGUGACCUCCUGGGAAAAACUAAGGUUGCUGCUGGAA
rnacentral:rRNA from 1 species